CGGUCGAGUCUCUAGAGAGUUUGAUCCUGGCUCAGGAUUAACGCUGGCGGCGUGCAAUAACACAUGCAAGUCGAACGAUGAAGAUAUUUAGAUUCCUUCGGGAUGAAAAAUAUUGGAUUAGUGGCGGACGGGUGAGUAACGCGUGAGUAACCUGCCUUACACAAGGGGAUAGCCGUUGGAAACGACGAAUAAUACCCUAUGACAUAAACUCUUCGCAUGAAGAGCUUAUCAAAGAUUUAUCGGUGUAAGAUGGACUCGCGUCUGAUUAGCUAGUUGGUGAGGUAACGGCCCACCAAGGCAACGAUCAGUAGCCGGCUUGAGAGAGUGUACGGCCACAUUGGGACUGAGACACGGCCCAGACUCCUACGGGAGGCAGCAGUGGGGAAUUUUGCACAAUGGGGGAAACCCUGAUGCAGCGACGCCGCGUGAUUUAGAAGGCCUUCGGGUUGUAAAAAAUCUUUUGUAUGGGAAGAAAAAUGACAGUACCAUACGAAUAAGGACCGGCUAAUUACGUG
rnacentral:rRNA from 1 species